rnacentral:rRNA from 1 species
UGCGUAGGCGGGUCUUUAAGUCAGGGGUGAAAUCCUGGAGCUCAACUCCAGAACUGCCUUUGAUACUGAAGAUCUUGAGUUCGGGAGAGGUGAGUGGAACUGCGAGUGUAGAGGUGAAAUUCGUAGAUAUUAGGAGGAACACCGGAGGCGAAGGCGGCUUACUGGACGACAACUGACGUUGAGGCUCGAAGGCGUGGGGAGCAAACA